CUCGAGACAUUUAAUUAUUCCAAAUUUCGCGUCUUAUUAUACAAUUCAAUAAUAACAAAAUCCAUCGAGUAAAAACGCCAAACACGUAAAUUCAUUCAUAAUACUUUUACCUUGCACGAUAUAAUAUUUAUUCUAAGAAGAGGAAGAAGGAGAAGGAGGAGUCUUCGUUGUAUUUCUCUUCGCCCCGGCAUAAUCUUCGUCCCAAGCGAAAGGAGAAACGUUCGUUCGAGUCCAAUGUCACAAACGCUUCAGAGAUGGAUAAACACGCGGGCGAGUAAGAAGGGAAGGAAAGGAGCAGCCUUUUAUAGCGCUAUUUUUCUCGUUUUAAUAAUUGCGUCGAACGUGGUCGUCGAGAGAGAGAGAGAAGCGGCACGAAAAUUUAUUAAAACUCGUUGUGGAAAAACUCUGCGCCGGAGAUCUUUUCGCCCAGGCUCGGGAAUCGGUGAAUUAACUAAUUAACUCUGUGUCCCCGUGUCUGGCUUCUCGCGAAACGACCGCGAAACGGCUGCAAUUCGCGCCUCGCCGAAUCAACACCGAAGAAAAUGUUGAUCUUGGGACGAAGAAUUAUUACACGCAAAUCGUGGAAAUUGUGCGAACGAAUGGAUGGAAUUGUUACGAGGUGAUUGGGUACGUAGAUUUUAUUCAGACGAUAAGAGUGAUUAUUCUUAAAUUUAUUCGUAUCGUUUUUUAUCGAAAUUUAGAUGGAAUAAGUGGAAAGAAAAAAUAUUCGAAGAAUAUUUACUCGUAUUCCUUGUACUCCCGUUUCAAAAAUACGUUUUUAUUACCUUUUUCCUGCGAUGCGUCAAACCAAGCAAAAUCCUUUUUUCGAAAAAUUUCAUUCGUUAAAUCUUCUCGAAAAACGUUCGAAACGCUAGAUUCGAAAGCUUUUAACUCUUACCUUUUGGGGAAUCGAGGAUCGUCAAGUUUUUUUCAAAGUUACACUUUAAUUACGAGGGAAAAAAGGAAAACUGAGAAUAACUUUCGAGAGGAGUACGCGAAACAAUAAUUUCGAGUGGAAACGGUAAUUCGUUUUGUCGCGACGACGAUUAAACGUUACGCGGAAUUAGUUAAAGUUUCGGUUAUGACGUUUCGUGAACAACACUUCGAACGAAUGGAAAACAACUCUCUUAAAUAAUCGUCAAGAAUUUCUGAUUGACGGACGGAGCUUCCUCGCCGAAAGAAAGUUCAGUGUCGGUUUUUCUAACCUCUUUCCUGAGAAGCUUGUCUCGGCGACAACUUCAACGUUUCUCUCUUUGCAAGAAACUGCGCCUGCGCAGUUGUAAACGAGCGAGGAUAACCGAGCGAACAUGUCUCCGCGAGUUUUUGCAAUUUCGUUCACGGUUCGAUGAAAUUUAUUCGAGUUAACGUAAUUUUAGUAGUUUGUAGAGUGGGAAUGGCCGUGAUAUAUUCGUGGAACAGUUUUGAAAUGUUUCUCGAUUAAUAUAUAUAUAUAAUAUAAUCGAUUGUUUGGACGCACAAUUAACCUAACCUAUAUUAUUUCGUAAAUUUAAAUUGCUUUAAACCAAUUUAAUUAAUAAUAAAAAUAUUACGUGAGCGAUUAAGUUUUUUGUACAUCAAUUUUAGAAUUCGAUUUUUGAAGAUUUUUCCAGAUAAUCGAAAGUGAAAAAGGAAAAGUUGGCGCACGAAAUUGUUCGUUAUAAGUAUACUGGAUUUGUUUGCCCUCCCUGAAACGACGCGUGAUUUCUCCUGGUUUAAAAGGUCGGUUGAAAGGGGUAAUCUUCUUGAUGAGAACGGCCAAUUAACGUCGCUCAAUCUGUAGAAUAAUUUCGAGAAGUUUAAUGAAGAAAGGGGGAAGGGAGUGGUUCGAUUGAAAGAGAGAUGCUUCUUUCGGAUGCUUCUCAAUAAAAAUAAUAAAAUCUCGGGGAGUUCAGGGAAUACGAAAUCGAACGUGUUUUUCUUUCUCUAGAAUUGAAACUAGGGAAAAUAUUUUCCCUAGAAUAGUUUCCCUAUGACACGAAUUCCACUCUUUUCCAUCUUAUAUCGAUAUAUAUACGUAUAUGUACACGUAUCUUUCUAGCUUAAAAUUGAAGAAAGAAUAAUUUUCAAAAAUAAAGCUACUAAAGUUUUAUUACUUUCAUAAAGGAUUAUUGAAAUUGAAUAAUUUCGAUAAAUUUACUCGAGCAACAAAUUUCGAUCGAAAAAUGUUAUAUAAAGAAUUCACGAUACAAUAUGUACGUCGCAUCGGUCUCUUAGGGUCAAAGCCGCGUAAAUAUUGCAAUUUGAUAACAUUAUGAACUUAGAUGUACUUUAAACUGUAAAAUAUAACGGUAAUUCCGAGAUGUCGAUA